rnacentral:lncRNA from 1 species
GUUGUCUGCUCUAUGGUCGGGUUGUUGUCUCUUUGGUACAUUCCCCAUUUCCAUUCUCAAUUUUAUUUGUAUAUAUGUCUUUUGGUGUUUCUUCGAAAACUUGUUUGUUGCUCGUCUUUCAUUUUUGGUAUGUGUUUUUUCUAUAUGCCUUUUAUGUUUCUGCGUUACAUAUAUGAUGUGGCUUAGUACUUAUACAUCCCGUCAUUG